rnacentral:lncRNA from 1 species
AUCACAAUACCCACUUACUAUACUGAAAAUACUUCCAAAACACUUUGAAAACUACAUAUGGCAUGAAAUCACAACAUCCACAUACCUCGAGUAUGAUGCAAUCAAUUUAAGCUUUCUCUAUUAUGACAGAUUCUCCCCUUAUAUUUUUCUCAGUUUUCUUUGGUCACUCUGUCAGAGUCUUCCCUUAAAAAUACUUCAAUUCUCUCUUUUCACUUUACCAGAAUCUCCCUUUAUAUUUUCAUCAAUUUCCUACCAAAAUUUUGAUAGCAUC